rnacentral:rRNA from 1 species
GACGAACGCUGGCGGCGUGCUUAACACAUGCAAGUCGAACGGUGAAGCGCCUUCCUUUUUGGUGGGUGUGGGUGAGUGGCGAACGGGUGAGUAACACGUGAGUAACCUGCCCGCUUCUUCGUGAUAACCGCAUGAAAGUGUGGCUAAUACGGGAUUUUCUGGGUCUGGCGCAUGAUGGGUCUGGGAAAGAUAUUGUUUCGGUGGGGGAUGGGCUCGCGGCCUAUCAGGUUGUUGGUGGGGUGGUGGCCUACGAAGGCGGCGGCGGGUAGCCGGCCUGAGAGGGAGGACGGUCGGGCUGGGGAGGAGACACGGCCAAGAUUGGAACGGGAGGCAGCAGUGGGGAAUACUGGACGAUGGGAGGAGGGCUGAUGCGGCGAAGGCGCGUGAGGGAUGGAGGCAUUCGGGUUGUGAGCUUCUUUCGCUAGUGAAGCAGGCCUGCCUCGUCUGUGGGUGGGUUGACGGUAGCUGGAGAAGAAGCGCCGGCUAACUACGUG